rnacentral:lncRNA from 1 species
AACUUGUGAAAGAAGUAAGCAACAAAUAAAAAUCAUCUAAGGAGAUGUAAAAAAGUACAAACAUUGGUAGAACGAGCACUUUCAAUAUUAUGAUGAGUAAUGAGUAGGAAAGCAAAGUGUAGAAAAAAAUAUUGUAAUCUGAAUACUUUAUCAAUUAUUACUUUAGUAUCAAUUACGGAUUAGUUAUAUCAUUCUUGCUAUAAUUGCACAAAACUUAACGAAUUUAAGUUAAACUCUUUGAGCAACAAAACAGAACUUUCAUGAGUAUCUAACUUUAUCUAGUAUUUACAAAUAUUUACAUUCUCAGAAAAAAAUUCUAAGAUAAAAAUAUUUCUCUAAAGAAUUAAUUCCUUCUUUCUCCAAUAGAUGCUAUAUCUUUUAACAAAAUAAUAUAAAUAUUGGAGUGCAUGGUUUAAGAAGUAUCCUAGCCCUAACAACACACAACAUUCCAGGAAUGUACUACCAAAGUUCUAUCAAUAUUUGAAUGUCCUGGACAUUUAGGGAACAUUCGGUGAACAUCUGUUUAAAUUAUUCCUGGAAUGUUACCAUAAGACAUUCUGUGAACAUACUACCAAUGUUCCUAUAUUUUAAGUUGCGAAAUAAUACAUACGUGUAACAGAUACAACAUUACUUAUAACAUACCAGACAAACUAAGUGACAUUUUAGGCCUACAGUGCAAUAAUAUGUCAAAUUUAAAGAGUUUCCCAAGAUUAUAAACAUACAAAUGUAAUAAAAAUUAUUGUUCGCGAAUAUUCAAUUUGGAAUGCGAUUUUGUUAAUAAAAAAAAUACUUAUAACUUAUGCAAAACCCAAGAGAGGCAUUAUUUAUAUUUAUUUCUUUUGCGUUCAUUUUCAAAUUCGCCGUGCAUAUAUUUUUGCGCAUGGCGCUUGAGAGGGCAUCACGUGACUAAAAACGACCAACCAACGACCUCGCUUCGGCCAUCUUGGCAUCUUCAUCUUGCCACCUUUGUAUUAUUUGUGCUUUUUAAGAAUAUUUUUUUAAUUCGGAUACUUUUAUAAUAGCUUUAAUAGUAUUAUUAACAUAGUGCAUAAAAUGGUGUCCUGUUUUUAACGCAGUUGGAGUAGCAGAAACAAAUGUAGAUAAAAAAAUCUGCAGGAAUAACGUUUAAAUUAUGACAGAAGUUCGAAACAAAUGACUGUGAAUUAGUGUGAAUGAAAAGCCCUAUUAAAAGCUUUCCAGAAGAUCCUGCGAAGAAGACAUGAACUAUAGAUCAGAUUUGUUAAUAGAGGAGUAUGUUCAAAA